GGGGAUGUAGCUCCAUGGUAUAGCACUUGCCUAAUAUGCAUGAAGCCCUGAAUUCAAUCCUCAGUACUGCCA
rnacentral:tRNA from 1 species